UAUUUUGUUAUGUGUAAUCUAUUCUGUGUUGUAGAAGCUCACUGGCCAUAUAUUUUUUUUAGAAAUAGGGGAGAAUAGUAUUUGAAAUUGUAAGAGGAAAUAUUCACUUGUGUAGAAAGAAAGUAAUUUCAGAUACAGUGAUGCAGCGAAGGUUAGCUAUACCAUGUCAAAGCAGGUUUAUUUUUUUCAUGGUUUUCUCCCAUCAAGAUGUG